ensembl:lncRNA
AUGAUUACCCGAACAUCAUCUUACAAGAACACAACAACCUUUAAGGCCUUGAUUGGGAUUGCCCCUUGUAGUGCUGUGACUUUUGUGUCAAGUCUCUUUACCGGCUCCAUCUCCGACCCAGAGCUGACUGAACGAAGUGGACUGCUGGAUUUACUGGAGCCAGGAGAUGGCUGCAUGGCAGACAAGGGUUUCACCAUCGAGAAGCCACUAGCUGAUCGUGGGGCAACGCUGAUUAUACCACCCUUCAAGAUGACAGUUCACUGAAGAGGAUGCUCUGAAAACACAAGCAAUCGCUCGACUUCGAAUCCUCGUAGAAAGAGCAAUAGGCAGAGUCAAGGAAUACCGCAUCUGGGAACGCACUGUCCUUUCACCUUGUCUGCGACAGUCAAUCAGCUGUGGACCGUCUGCUGUGUGAUGACCAACUUCCAGGGACCACUUGAUUUAAAAGGCUACAUCCCUGUUGAAUAGUGUUUCUACUCAAACAUGUACCUAUAAAUAUUAAAUAUAAUAUAUAAAUAUUAAAACGAGAGGCACUGAACAUUUGGAGUGGUCCCUUCAUUUUUUCCGGAGCUGUAAUUUUGUACACUGAAAACAUUGUAUAUAUUGAAUGACAUGUAAUGUAAUUGAAUGAGAAGUCUUUCAUCUAUAAUCAAUUUUAAAGUCCAGUCAGUCCAUCCUGAAAGUAUUCAAAAUAAGGUUAAUAUAUAAUGUAGUAAAUGAUGUACUCAGAAAAAGAGAAUGAAUUAAAUCCUUUUAUUCUUUCAGUUCCUUUAUUCAUUCAGUUCAUUUCACAUUCAUUUCACUUUCUGCUGAAGAUACACAUUCAUAUAUGUACCAAAGAAGUACCAGUCUACCUUAUUUUUCAUCUCUUAUCCUUUCAUCCCUCCAGACUGAGCUGACGCCAAACCGACGUUAGCAUAAGCCAACCUACCUAGCGUAAGCUAGCUAGCAGACACUCGCAUUAGUAGUCGUUAUAUUUCUCGAAAAAUAAACAAUCCCUUGUCCAGUUUGGAGCGGGCUGUUAUGGAGUGUUGUUCGGUAAGUCUGUGAACUUCAGAAAACGUGACUUUGGGUACAUUUACCAGGGAUGUCGUGAAAGUGAACUGCCGGUCCUCCAUCAUCAGUUCGCCAGAGUGAUGAGUGGUUCACCGGAUGUCACAGUGCACAAUGAACACCGAAUGCGGAAGUACUACGUAUCAGCGUGAUAAUCCCCUAUAACUUAGACCUCACCCGCAGAGGGAGUGAAAAAAUAACGCCAGACCCAGAGCUUUACAGUGUCAAUAUACACGUUACAAAAUGAGACCCAUUCUACUGACUCAGUGGGACAGAUUGCACCAUCCGGAGAUUUCACAUCAAAGAUGUGAGGAUGAGAAUGUGCUGCUAAUGGCUGCGGCUGCCCACUGUGAACCUUGCACGUAGUAAGUUGGUGUGACAGUGAUGAGUUUGUUUUGUAGUUCUGGCUUGGACACUGCACAGUGUCGAACAGCUCACGAGAGAUGUACUCCUCCGGCACCUGAUAGGUUAGGGUUAGGUAAAUUAAAAUAUCUCAUGG